GAUGAAGAACGUAGCGAAAUGCGAUAAGUAAUGUGAAUUGCAGAAUUCAGUGAAUCAUCGAAUCUUUGAACGCACCUUGCGCUCUUUGGUAUUCCGAAGAGCAUGCCUGUUUGAGUGUCAUGAAAAUAUCAACCUUGACUUGGGUUUUGUGCUCUAGUCUCGGCUUGGAAUUGGGUGCUUGCCGCUUUUACGAGCGGCUCACCUUAAAUGUAUUAGCUGGAUCUGUCUUUGAGACGUGGUUUGACUUGGCGUAAUAAGUAUUUCGCUAAGGACAUUCUUCGGAGUGGCCUCGUUUCUAGGACGCUUGUCCGCUUUCCAAUACAAGUUCCACCUCGUGGACAUGACUUUUUAUUAUCUGGCCUCAAAUCAGGUAGGACUACCCGCUGAACUUAAGCAUAUCAAUAAGCGGAGGA
rnacentral:misc_RNA from 1 species